ACAGGGAGGUAACAUACAGGACUUCACACAGCGGUACAGGGAGGUAACAUACAGGACUUCACACAGCAGUACAGGACUUCACACAGCGGUACAGGGAGGUAACAUACAGGACUUCACACAGCGGUACAGGACUUCACACAGCGGUACAGGGAGGUAACAUACAGGACUUCACACAGCGGUACAGGACUUCACACAGCGGUACAGGGAGGUAACAUACAGGACUUCACACAGCAGUACAGGGAGGUAACAUACAGGACUUCACACAGCAGUACAGGGAGGUAACAUACAGGACUUCACACAGCGGUACAGGACUUCACACAGCGGUACAGGGAGGUAACAUACAGGACUUCACACAGCGGUACAGGGAGGUAACAUACAGGACUUCACACAGCGGUACAGGGAGGUAACAUACAGGACUUCACACAGCGGUACAGGGAGGUAACAUACAGG
rnacentral:lncRNA from 1 species